GGCCAGACUCCUACGGGAGGCAGCAGUGAGGAAUAUUGGUCAAUGGCCGGAAGGCUGAACCAGCCAAGCCGCGUGAAGGACGAAGGUGCCAAGCAUUGUAAACUUCUUUUGUCAAGGGACAAAAUCAGGCUCGAGAGCCUGACCGAGGGUACUUGAAGAAAAAGCAUCGGCUAACUACGUGCCAGCAGCCGCGGUAAUACGUAGGGAGCAAGCGUUAUCCGGAUUUACUGGGUGUAAAGGGCGUGUAGGCGGGCAUGCAAGCCAGAAGUGAAAUCUGGGGGCUUAACCCCCAAACUGCUUUUGGAACUGCGUGUCUUGAGUGAUGGAGAGGCAGGCGGAAUUCCCAGUGUAGCGGUGAAAUGCGUAGAUAUUGGGAGGAACACCAGUGGCGAAGGCGGCCUGCUGGACAUUAACUGACGCUGAGGCGCGAAAGCGUGGGGAGCAAACAGGAUUAGAUACCCCAGUAUG
rnacentral:rRNA from 1 species